rnacentral:rRNA from 1 species
AUGAACGCUGGCGGCGUGCCUCAUACAUGCAAGUCGAGCGAACAGACGAGAGUGCUUGCACUCUCUGACGUUAGCGGCGGACGGGUGAGUAACACGUGGGUAACCUACCUAUAAGACUGGGAUAACUUCGGGAAACCGGAGCUAAUACCGGAUAAUAUUUAGCUUCGCAUGAAGCAAUAGUGAAAGACGGUUCUGCUGUCACUUAUAGAUGGACCCGCGGUGUAUUAGCUAGUUGGUGAGGUAACGGCUCACCAAGGCAACGAUACAUAGCCGACCUGAGAGGGUGAUCGGCCACACUGGGACUGAGACACGGCCCAGACUCCUACGGGAGGCAGCAGUAGGGAAUCUUCCGCAAUGGACGAAAGUCUGACGGGGCAAUGCCGCGUGAGUGAAGAAGGUUUUCGGAUCGUAAAACUCUGUUGUAAGGGAAGAACAAGUACGUUAGUAACUGAACGUACCUUGACGGUACCUUACCAGAAAGCCACGGCUAACUACGUG